rnacentral:ncRNA from 1 species
UAACUGGUGAAAGUCCAGUCUAGGUAAUUGCCAAGAAGCCUAGUAGCUAUAAGACCAAUGUCAGCAGAGAUGGUGGCAUUGAAGCGUCUCGAAAAUGUGCCUUAGUGGUGCUAGCAAAGAUGCAGACCGUAACAUAA